GGGAAAGAGGAAAUGUGAGCUGUAGAAACUGACAAGGACAGUGACUUCACAAGCAAAUCCACCUCUCGGGGCCCCGGGGGAACACAGAACCCCAUUCCCACACUCAGAGAACCAGAAACGUGGCCAGGGAGAUUCCUGUAUUUUCUGCCCUGCCAUGGGCUCCAGGCUUUUCUGUUGUGUGGCCCUUUGUCUCCUGGGAGCAGGCUGUAUGGACACUGGAAUUACCCAGACACCAAAAUUCCUGAUCAUAGGAAUGAGAAAUAAGACUUUGAAAUGUGAACAACAUCUGGGACAUAAUGCUAUGUACUGGUAUAAACAGAACUCUAAGAAGCCACCAGAGCUCAUGUUUGUCUACAACUAUGAAAAACUCGUUCAAAAUGAGAGUGUGCCCAGUCGCUUCUCACUGGAAUGCCCAGACAGCUCUAAACUGUACCUUCACAUGGACGGCCUGGAGCCAGAUGACUCUGCCACAUACUUUUGUGCCAGCAGCAAAGACACAGCUGUGCAGAGUCACCUCCUCCUUAUGCACAAACCUCCUGGGUCUAGCCAGGAAGCUGUGGGGGCUCUGCUGGAUAAGAGGUCCUUGUUCCUGAGGGGGAUGGGGAUGCUUCCGCUGCAGGACAUAACAAGGAUUCCACUGAACCUGAACCUAUGUGACUAUGCCUGA